AUUGAACGCUGGCGGCAUGCCUUACACAUGCAAGUCGAACGGCAGCACGGGUGCUUGCCCCUGGUGGCGAGUGGCGAACGGGUGAGUAAUACAUCUGAACAUGUCCCGUAUUGGGGGAGGGCCCGGCGAAAGCCGGAUUAAUACUGCAUACGAUUUACGUAUGACAGCGGGGGACCUUGUGGCCUCGCGCUUUAGGGUUGGCCGAUGACGGAUUAGCUAGUUGGUGGGGUAAAGGCCUACCAAGGCGACGACCAGUAGCUGGUCUGAGAGGACGAUCAGCCACACUGGGACUGAGACACGGCCCAGACUCCUACGGGAGGCAGCAGUGGGGAAUUUUGGACAAUGGGCGAAAGCCUGAUCCAGCAAUGCCGCGUGUGUGAAGAAGGCCUUCGGGUUGUAAAGCACUUUUGUCAGGAAAGAAAACCUUGGCCCUAAUACGGUCGGGGGAUGACGGUACCGGAAGAAUAAGCACCGGCUAACUACGUG
rnacentral:rRNA from 1 species